GCAGUCGUGUGAGCAGUUGGCUGACCGACAGCGACGGGGACGUUUGUCGUGCGGUGUAGUCAUGCCCGUCCGGUGCUGAGCGAUCGACGUGCGGUCCACGUGGGUUUCGCGUAAAUUAAAGAAAACCACCAUGCCGACGUUCAUUCGCUGUCCGAUGGCGGACGUCCGCACAUCGUUUUGAACGCAGAAAAAAAAACUAUAAAAACGGAAAACAGUUAUCGCAUUUUUGAUGUAAAAAAAAAAAAAAUAAUAAUAAUACUAUUAUGUUAACAACGGAACGACAUUAUUCUCGUUUGAAUUUGCUCGAGUUUUAAUUCUAUCAGAAAGUUUUAUUGUAUCGUAAUAUUAAUUUCCUACCGUAUACAUUUUGUCGACCGUUUAUUAAAUUUCGUUUGAACUGAGUAGUACUAAUAUUAUUGUAGUCCACUCACUGACGUUUAUGUAUACUGCAUUGUGCAAUUUCAUUAUAUUACCUUAUUAUGCAAUUAUAACUGAGUUAUUUAGUGAAGAAUUUAAUUUUAAAAUUACUCAAAUUAUUUAAAUUCAAUAAAACGGUUAUUAGCAACGUUACUCGAAUAAAAUUAUGCGGAUAUACUGCCAAUGGCAUAUCCGAGAGCAGUCGAUGAAAUAGCUGGUUAAUAUAAUGACGACGACCUAAAUUUUUACUUCCGAUUGUAAUAGAUGACAACUACUUUGAAUUAUUCAUUCUGAGGCACUGCUAUACUAUAUAGACAAUGUCAUUGGGUUCCAUCGUCCUAUUAACUGCUGUUUGGUUAGCAAUGUCCAAGGUAUUGACCUGCGAAUCGCUCCGUAACAGCGGCAGUCACCGGGGCCGUCAUAAAUACAAGCGAAGGCAAUUAUAUUCCGGAGGAAAUAACGGUGACGUGCACCUCCACCGAGACGACUCGCCACUGCAACAUGAUCCGUCAUUAUUACUGAUGGAUGAAGAUAACGAAGCAGCGACUGCCGACGCUACGUUUGAGUUGGACAAACCACGUGAGUGUAUAUUUCAUACUAUAAUUUAUAGAACAAAAAAGUUUUAUUUUUUUAUUAUUGAAAUUGAUGUCUUUCAUCCGGUUACCGGUAGGUAUAGAGAUAUUUCAUUUUUUUUUUUUUUU